UACGUAGGGCGCAAGCGUUGUCCGGAAUUAUUGGGCGUAAAGAGCUCGUAGGCGGUCUGUCACGUCUGCCGUGAAAACCCGAGGCUUAACCUCGUGGCUUGCGGUGGAUACGGGCAGACUAGAGGUAGGUAGGGGAGAAUGGAAUUCCCGGUGUAGCGGUGAAAUGCGCAGAUAUCGGGAGGAACACCGGUGGCGAAGGCGGUUCUCUGGGCCUUACCUGACGCUGAGGAGCGAAAGCGUGGGGAGCGAACAGG
rnacentral:rRNA from 1 species